rnacentral:rRNA from 1 species
AACGCUAGCUACAGGCUUAACACAUGCAAGUCGAGGGGCAGCAUGGUCUUAGCUUGCUAAGGCCGAUGGCGACCGGCGCACGGGUGAGUAACACGUAUCCAACCUGCCGUCUACUCUUGGACAGCCUUCUGAAAGGAAGAUUAAUACAAGAUGGCAUCAUGAGUCCGCAUGUUCACAUGAUUAAAGGUAUUCCGGUAGACGAUGGGGAUGCGUUCCAUUAGAUAGUAGGCGGGGUAACGGCCCACCUAGUCUUCGAUGGAUAGGGGUUCUGAGAGGAAGGUCCCCCACAUUGGAACUGAGACACGGUCCAAACUCCUACGGGAGGCAGCAGUGAGGAAUAUUGGUCAAUGGGCGAGAGCCUGAACCAGCCAAGUAGCGUGAAGGAUGACUGCCCUAUGGGUUGUAAACUUCUUUUAUAAAGGAAUAAAGUCGGGUAUGGAUACCCGUUUGCAUGUACUUUAUGAAUAAGGAUCGGCUAACUCCGUGCCAGCAGCCGCGGUAAUACGGAGGAUCCGAGCGUUAUCCGGAUUUAUUGGGUUUAAAGGGAGCGUAGAUGGAUGUUUAAGUCAGUUGUGAAAGUUUGCGGCUCAACCGUAAAAUUGCAGUUGAUACUGGAUAUCUUGAGUGCAGUUGAGGCAGGCGGAAUUCGUGGUGUAGCGGUGAAAUGCUUAGAUAUCACGAAGAACUCCGAUUGCGAAGGCAGCCUGCUAAGCUGCAACUGACAUUGAGGCUCGAAAGUGUGGGUAUCAAACAGGAUUAGAUACCCUGGUAGUCCACACGGUAAACGAUGAAUACUCGCUGUUUGCGAUAUACGGCAAGCGGCCAAGCGAAAGCGUUAAGUAUUCCACCUGGGGAGUACGCCGGCAACGGUGAAACUCAAAGGAAUUGACGGGGGCCCGCACAAGCGGAGGAACAUGUGGUUUAAUUCGAUGAUACGCGAGGAACCUUACCCGGGCUUAAAUUGCAGAUGAAUUACGGUGAAAGCCGUAAGCCGCAAGGCAUCUGUGAAGGUGCUGCAUGGUUGUCGUCAGCUCGUGCCGUGAGGUGUCGGCUUAAGUGCCAUAACGAGCGCAACCCUUGUUGUCAGUUACUAACAGGUUCCGCUGAGGACUCUGACAAGACUGCCAUCGUAAGAUGUGCGGAAGGUGGGGAUGACGUCAAAUCAGCACGGCCCUUACGUCCGGGGCUACACACGUGUUACAAUGGGGGGUACAGAGGGCCGCUACCACGCGAGUGGAUGCCAAUCCCCAAAACCUCUCUCAGUUCGGACUGGAGUCUGCAACCCGACUCCACGAAGCUGGAUUCGCUAGUAAUCGCGCAUCAGCCACGGCGCGGUGAAUACGUUCCCGGGCCUUGUACACACCGCCCGUCAAGCCAUGGGAGCCGGGGGCACCUGAAGUGCGUAACCGCGAGGAGCGCCCUAGGGUAAAACUGGUGACUGGGGC